rnacentral:rRNA from 1 species
UGAAUACGAGACGCUAAGGCGUCGAAGUAGUGUAUGUCAUACUUCCAAGAAAAGCUUGCACUGUCAUAGAUAAAAAACGCCUGUACCAUAACCGACACAGGUGGGUAGGUAGAGUAUACUAAGGGGCGCGAGAUAACUCUCUCUAAGGAACUCGGCAAAAUAACUCCGUAACUUCGGGAGAAGGAGUGCCUUAUUCGUAAGGUUGCAAUAACAAGAUCCAAGCAACUGUUUAUCAAAAACACAGGUCUCCGCUAAGUCGUAAGACGAUGUAUGGGGGCUGACGCCUGCCCAGUGCCAGAAGGUUAAAGAAGUUGGUUAGCAAUUGCGAAGCUGAUAACUGAAGCCCUGGUGAACGGCGGCCGUAACAAUAACGGUCCUAAGGUAGCGAAAUUCCUUGUCGGGUAAGUUCCGACCUGCACGAAAGGCGUAAUGAUUUGGAUACUGUCUCGGAGAGGGGCUCGGUGAAAUAGACUUGUCUGUGAAGAUGCGGACUACCUGCACCAGGACAGAAAGACCCUAUGAAGCUUUACUGUAACUUGAAAUUGAAAUUGGACUUUAUUCGCGCAGUAUAGGUGGGAGGCGUUGAUUAUAAUCUUGUGGGAUUAUUGGAGCCAUCAGUGAGAUACCACUCUUGUAAUGUUAGAUUUCUAACUUUGAAUCAUUAUCUGGUCAAAGAACAGUUUCAGGCGGGCAGUUUGACUGGGGCGGUCGCCUCCUAAACGGUAACGGAGGCGUACAAAGGUUUCCUCUGAACGGUUAGAAAUCGUAUCUAGAGUGUAAAGGCAUAAGGAAGCUUGACUGUGAGACCUACAAGUCGAGCAGGGACGAAAGUCGGUCUUAGUGAUCUGACGGUACUGAGUGGAAAGGCCGUCACUCAACGGAUAAAAGUUACUCUAAGGAUAACAGGCUGAUCUCCCCCAAGAGUUCACAUCGACGGGGAGGUUUGGCACCUCGAUGUCGGCUCAUCGCAUCCUGGGGCGGUAGUACGUCCCAAGGGUUGGGCUGUUCGCCCAUGAAAGCGGUACGCGAGCUGGGUUCAGAACGUCGUGAGACAGUUCGGUCCAUAUCCGGUGUAGGCGUUAGAAUAUUGAGAGGAGCCUUCUUUAGUACGAGAGGACCGAGAAGGACAUACCUCUGGUGUACCAGUUAUCGUGCCAACGGUAAACGCUGGGUAGCUAUGUAUGGAGUGGAUAACCGCUGAAAGCAUCUAAGUGGGAAGCCCACCUCAAGAUAAGUAUUCUCAGC